rfam:Ipomoea nil DNA, scaffold: scaffold0878, cultivar: Tokyo-kokei standard.
GGGUCUUUAGCUCAAUGGUAGAGCAUUAGAUUGCAGAUCAAGAGGUCAUUGGUUCAAAGCUGCUAGGGCCCU